rnacentral:sRNA from 1 species
CGGCUGCUUCUUCGCCAGAAUCACCCGGUUGCUUGCUGUCUCAGCGGCGCCCCCUCAUCACCGUCGCCAUGCCCGGAGGUCUGCUUCUCGGGGACGUGGCUCCCAACUUUGAGGCCAAUACCACCGUCGGCCGCAUCCGUUUCCACGACUUUCUGGGAGACUCAUGGGGCAUUCUCUUCUCCCACCCUCGGGACUUUACCCCAGUGUGCACCACAGAGCUUGGCAGAGCUGCAAAGCUGGCACCAGAAUUUGCCAAGAGGAAUGUUAAGUUGAUUGCCCUUUCAAUAGACAGUGUUGAGGACCAUCUUGCCUGGAGCAAGGUUAGUAUCAAUUGGCAUGUGCUUUGAGCCUGAGAUUAUAGGUCAAGUUAUAAAUUAUGGAGUACUUGGUUUUGAGGUUAAGGUACAAGUAAGCCUUAGGUUCAGAGUUCACUAAUUAUUUGAAAAUUUCAAUUGAACCACACAGUGAUCACAUUGCUAAAUCCAUUGGUCAGUCAAUUCUCAGCCCUCCUCUUGGCCUGCCAGCAGCAUUCAACCCAGGUGAUCACUGUACCUCCUGAAACUUUUUCCUUUCUUGACUUCCAGGACACCACAUUCUAGCUGUUCCUGCUCACUGAUUCUUCAUCUCCCAACUCCUAAUUUAUGCUGAAGUUACCCUGAACUUAUUUCUUGGACCUCCUCUCUUUUCUGUCUGCACUCUUUCCCUUGGUGAGCUCAUCCACUCACCUUUAAAUACCAUCUAUGUGCUGUGAUUCUCAAAUUUUCAUCUCUAUGCCAGACUCUUCCAGGUUCAUUUAACCACUGCCUACC